AACACUUUUACCAAGAAACUCUAAAAGUAUUUCAGAUGUAAAUUAAAGAAUUGUAUUUGAGGAUCUUCUGUUUAAAUUCUAAUCUGAAGGUGGAUAUUACUAUCCC